rnacentral:lncRNA from 1 species
GUCUCAAGAAUACGGGUCAAAGGGUUUGAAGCUGACAUUGUAUCUGCAGAGAGUAAAGAUUCUAGUUAAACUUUUGUACUUGAUCCUAAUCUGUUCUAAGGUCUUUUAGAACAAAUGUAACUCCCACUAUUUUCUCGAAUCCCUCACACUCCCCUGGUAGGGAAACGAAAAUCCCACACGACUAGGGUUUCUAGUGGGUACUGCGGUCCCACCAAUUUACAUGCCAC